rnacentral:rRNA from 1 species
GACGAACGCUGGCGGCGUGCUUAACACAUGCAAGUCGAACGGAAAGGCCCUGCUUGCAGGGUACUCGAGUGGCGAACGGGUGAGUAACACGUUGGUGAUCUGCCCUGCACUUCGGGAUAAGCCUGGGAAACUGGGUCUAAUACCGGAUAGGAGCCAUUUUUAGUGUGAUGGUUGGAAAGUUUUUUCGGUGUAGGAUGAGCUCGCGGCCUAUCAGCUUGUUGGUGGGGUAAUGGCCUACCAAGGCGGCGACGGGUAGCCGGCCUGGGAGGGUGGCCGGCCACAUUGGGACUGAGAUACGGCCCAGACUCCUACGGGAGGCAGCAGUGGGGAAUAGUGCAAAAUGGGCGCAAGCCUGAUGCAGCGACGCCGCGUGGGGGAUGACGGCCUUCGGGUUGUAAUCUCAUUUCGCUAGGGACGAAGCUGUUUGUGACGGUACCUAGAUAAGAAGCACCGGCUAACUACGUG